rnacentral:rRNA from 1 species
CAGCCGCCACGGGAAUACGUAGGGUGCGAGCGUUAAUCGGAAUUACUGGGCGUAAAGCGUGCGCAGGCGGUUCGUUAAGACAGAUGUGAAAUCCCCGGGCUUAACCUGGGAACUGCAUUUGUGACUGGCGAGCUAGAGUAUGGCAGAGGGGGGUAGAAUUCCACGUGUAGCAGUGAAAUGCGUAGAGAUGUGGAGGAAUACCGAUGGCGAAGGCAGCCCCCUGGGCCAAUACUGACGCUCAUGCACGAAAGCGUGGGGAGCAAACAGGAUUAGAGACCCCAGUAGUCCCUGUCUCUUAUAC